CAGAAAAAGGUUAAAUACUUCAUGAGUCCGCCUACUUGUGUAUCUGUCAUGAUUUUUUAAGGAUUUAGGAUUCAAAACGAAUCUAUAAUCAUCUUGAAUUCAUUUUCACUUCAGAUCUAUGAAUUUGGGAGCUAAAAAAACAAUGCAGAUCGUGUGAUUUUGACUAUAUAAAGUUGUAGGGUCCAAAAAGGUACAAAAUAUAGCAUUUUUAAGGUACAAAGACUUUUUUUUUUUCCUUUUCUUUUUCUUUUUUCUAAUUCAUGAC
rnacentral:lncRNA from 1 species